rnacentral:tRNA from 1 species
UCGUAUAUUGGUAGACGCUGCGGACUUAAAUCCGUUGGCUUUAAAGACCGUGAGGGUUCAAGUCCCUCUACCCCCA